GUGAAUAGUUCACUCUUUCAUUCAUCAAAUCACAAGAAACAUAACAAAAAAAUGUUAAUGCUGCACCAUAACUGCUGAAUGUGUAAACAAGAAACUAAGUGUUGUUUGAUUCUGCUCCCUUCUUAAUCCUGGUACCUUUUAUUCCCCAGUGAGACUGCAGACACCCAGCAUCUCCCUGACCUCUCCUAGUGCAGGUCUGGUCUGGGGUCCUGAAGGUGCAGAGAUCACCAGGGUUACAGUUUGUCCUCACCUGCUCCGUUAACUCCAGAUUUUCCAGUGGACGUUUCUUUCUCAUCUUCUCUGACUCCAACAUCACAGACAGCAAGCCAGCAGUCAACAACUCAGCCUCCUUUAGUUUCCCUGUAGCUGAGUAUGAACACCAAGGCAACUACAGCUGUGUGUAUGAAGUCACAGUGUCCACACAGACAUUCAAUUCUACUGCAACAGCACCCAUUACUGUCAUCAUUAAAUUUCCUUGGAUGCUGAUGGUCUCAACUGUAGUUCGUGUGGUCCUGUUGCUCCUGCUGGUCUUAUUGGUGGUCUUACUGGUGCUCAGGAGAAGGAGACAAACACAGCAGGCCCACAUCCACACCACAGGUCAGUGCUCACCAGAACAAACAAUAUAUUAGAUAAACAGCAGCUUUGUUUUGAUCAUUACGUCCAGAAAAAUCUCCUUUGCUGUGUUUCAGUGACUCUAAAAACCUGUAAUGAAGAAGAUGACGUCAGUGAUAAGAGAGAGGAUCUAUAUGAAUGUUGAGACAGUGAACAUGUAUUGUGAUGAAUUAUUAUUGCUGUUGCAUUUUAGCCAGUCAUAAAUACGGAGGAAAAAAACAACAUUUGAACCUAUUACAGAUUACACAUUUGGAAUUUUUGUCUCAUAAUACUGCCUGAUAAACUUCAGUGAAUAUAGUCCAAUAUUAUGUAGCACAAUAUAGUACGUUUGGUAACUGAUUUUUUUGUGUCUGUAAAAUGACAGUGAAAUGUGUUAUUUGUAAUUGUGUGAUACUUUAACCCAGGUGUGUCAAGUCCAUAAAGAGUCAAUGGGGAAAUAAAAAUCACAUCAAUGGCAUAUGUAGUCUGUCAGCAUGCUUUCAUUUCAUUAAAAAUUAGAUGCCUUGUGCAUCAUUUCCAGUCUACUCUAAAUGAAACCAAAAUCAACAGAAGGAUUUUAGCAAGUAAGUCAAAUAAUAUCACAGCCUUGUUGCAGAUAAGGCUCUCAUAUAACAAACUCAUAUCAACCUGCGUUUAGAGCCUGAAUUUGUGAUCUACUGCCCGUAUAAACAAGUACAUCAUGAUGUAAAAGAAAGUUUAGUUUUGUUCUUUCACAUAUAGCUACAGGUUUUAGCUAGCCCGUGACAACUUGAAAAUAAUGUAUGUAAGAUACUUUCUUUUUUUAAAGUAA
rnacentral:lncRNA from 1 species